rnacentral:rRNA from 1 species
CCGGACAGGGAUGGGCAUGCGGCGCAUUAGGCAGUAGGCGGGGUAACGGCCCACCUAACCGACGAUGCGUAGGGGUUCUGAGAGGAAGGUCCCCCACACUGGUACUGAGACACGGACCAGACUCCUACGGGAGGCAGCAGUGAGGAAUAUUGGUCAAUGGUCGGGAGACUGAACCAGCCAAGCCGCGUGAGGGAUGAAGGUACAGAGUAUCGUAAACCUCUUUUGUCAGGGAACAAAGGCGGGGACGUGUCCCCGGAUGAGUGUACCUGAAGAAAAAGCAUCGGCUAACUCCGUGCCAGCAGCCGCGGUAAUACGGAGGAUGCGAGCGUUAUCCGGAUUUAUUGGGUUUAAAGGGUGCGCAGGCGGUCUGUUAAGUCAGCGGUCAAAGCCCGGGGCUCAACCCCGGCCCGCCGUUGAAACUGGCAGUCUCGAGUUGGAGAGAAGUAUGCGGAAUGCGCGGUGUAGCGGUGAAAUGCAUAGAUAUCGCGCAGAACUCCGAUUGCGAAGGCAGCAUGCCGGCUCCACACUGACGCUGAGGCACGAAAGCGUGGGUAUCGAACAGGAUUAGAUACCCUGGUAGUCCACGCAGUAAACGAUGAAUGCUGGCUGUCCGGGGG